CCCUUAGAUGUCCUGGGCCGCACGCGCGCUACACUGAUGCAUGCAACAAGUCUUUUCCUUGGCCGAGAGGCCUGGGCAAUCUUUGAAUAUGCAUCGUGAUGGGGAUAGACGAUUGCAAUUAUUCGUCUUCAACGAGGAAUUCCUAGUAAACGCAAGUCAUCAGCUUGCAUUGAUUACGUCCCUGCCCUUUGUACACACCGCCCGUCGCACCUACCGAUUGAAUGGUCCGGUGAAGGCUUCGGAGGCGGCUUUCUCAAUGUUUAUUCGGCGAGACUGCUGCCAAAGUUGAAUGAACCUUACCAUUUAGAGGAAGGUGAAGUCGUNACA
rnacentral:rRNA from 1 species